ACUUCCGGGCUGUGCUGUCACUAGAGUGCUGCUCGUUCUCUAUUUCUCCGCCUGCUGCUCUGCAUCUUAGGAGGCAAAGAAACAUUUUCAGCCCUCUCCAAGCCAUGAGAUGGAAGAGUGUCCUUAUAUGAAGACUGCUGGAGUUCCAUUGGCUGGAAGUGCCUCAGGCUGUGGCUGGUGUUUGAAGGGCUGCUCCACACAUAUCAAUCAUCCUUUGACAAGAUCUGGAAGAAAAAAAAAAACAACAAAAACCACCCCCCAAAAAGGUGAGGUUCCGAGAUGGUAUCUGGAUGAUGAACACAGAGAGAGCUUCCAUUGUUCCUCUUCUCCUUUGUGCAGAGGAAGCCGUUGGCUGAGUUCAGAAAAAUGUUAAGUGCAUAUCCCGGACCAGUUUGGGUCUCCAGACUGAAUGAAGCCAGUCAGCUGGGAUUCUGGUUGAGUCUCAGACUCAGAAGAAACUUGUGGGAUUAAGUGGUUUUUCUGGAAAAUAUUGGCUGAAAACCACAUUCACCCCAAAUUGCUGUGUGAAUGAAACACAUGGGUUUUCUUUGUGUUUUAAAUAAUUCCAGUGGUGGCCUCAAGCUUCUAUUUCCCUGUGUUUUUAUGGAGUUAACCAAAAUAGCUUUGUACAAAUAACAAAAAGUAUGAAAAAG
ensembl:lncRNA ROCR regulator of chondrogenesis RNA